rnacentral:lncRNA from 1 species
AGAGGAGGUUUUCCGCGUGAUCAACUGGGACGUGGAGGUGAGGAGCUCCAAUCUCAGCCAGGCAAACAAGAUCUUGGAUUGACGUGGUCGGUUGGCACUCACUCAGUACACUGUAUGCCCAGUCCGGGCAUCUUGAGAUUUCCAGGAACAAGGAGUUCCGUGAUCGUCUCCUGGAACGCGAUGAUCACCGCGUAUGUGGCGGCAUCCCG